rnacentral:lncRNA from 1 species
UCGCUGUUGGCUUGGCUCCCCGCCUGUGCCAUCAAACCCCUGCAAUUUAUCCAGAAAGCAGCAGCCCGCCUGGUUUUCAACCUUCCCAAGUUCUCUCAUGUCAUCCCACUACAAGACCAUGGUGCUUACCAAUGGAACAGCAAGCGGAUCUGCCCCUCCCUACUUUCCAGCUAUGCUCAAACCCCACACCCAAACCCAAGCACUCCUCAGGUCUCUUGGCCAGCUCCCACUCAGCCCAAUCCAAGCUCUUCUCUGGCACCCCAAUGUUAGAACCAGCUUCCCCCUGAAGCUAGGCCUUCAGAGUCCCUGCCCAUCUUCCGAAAACAGCUGACAAUGUUAUAUAUAAAAGGACUGUUGAUAUUGCAACCCCACAACUCAAACACCGGUUUACCAGUAGGAACGAAAUCUCAAACCUUUUUUUUGUUCAAACCCUCACAAACUGUUGUCCGUUAAAGAUGAUUACUAAAAAUGAUUGAAUCAGACAAUUUAUUGGCUAUUCAGAAUCUAGACGACGUGCUCUAUCCAUUGUUCUAUCUGUGGUAGCAUUAGUGCCUCAGCUGCUGUUGGUGGCUCAUCAUCAUCAUCAGUAGCCUACAACCGGCUAGCACUAGCAGCAGCACAGCGGUCGCUAAUGUCGAACCAGAGCGAGAGCUCGGGGGGAGGAAGAUGCAAAUCAUGCAAAUUCGGAUUCAGAGCCUGAUUCACCCCAGCCCUUGCUCUUCCAGAGUCACAAAGAUAUCAGCAUGUGGACCUACUGCGUGAGUGUGAUGAUGUUUGUGGUCUUCCCUGAUGACAUCACUGCCAACAUGACCCUGGUGGAGGAGAGCCUGAUGGCCGAGUUUGUCCAGGACCGUUCAGUUUCUGCACUUGGCCGACGCACUGCCUUCCAAGAGUUCAGCUACUCCACUGGCCUGCUGCCUGCUUACUGACCAGGGUCUAUCUUGAUAGGUUGCAGGACACAGACCAGUGUUCUGCAAAGCUCAGCAGCCUCAAUCACAAGUUGGCACACACACACACACACAAACCAGCACUUAGGAGGAUCCUAAGAGGAGACCUUUCAAUAAAUAUCAUAUGUAGAAAUAUUAAUCUAAUAAAUAAAAGGAAUUAAAA